GUGGGGAAUAUUGGACAAUGGGCGAAAGCCUGAUCCAGCCAUGCCGCGUGUGUGAAGAAGGUCUUCGGAUUGUAAAGCACUUUAAGUUGGGAGGAAGGGCAGUAAGUUAAUACCUUGCUGUUUUGACGUUACCGACAGAAUAAGCACCGGCUAACUUCGUGCCAGCAGCCGCGGUAAUACGAAGGGUGCAAGCGUUAAUCGGAAUUACUGGGCGUAAAGCGCGCGUAGGUGGUUUUGUAAGUUGGAGGUGAAAUCCCCGGGCUCCACCUGGGAACUGCCUCAAAAACUGCAUGACUAGAGUACGGUAGAGGGUAGUGGAAUUUCCUGUGUAGCGGUGAAAUGCGUAGAUAUAGGAAGGAACACCAGUGGCGAAGGCGACUACCUGGACUGAUACUGACACUGAGGUGCGAAAGCGUGGGGAGCAAACAGGAUUAGAUACCCGAGUAGUCC
rnacentral:rRNA from 1 species